AACGCACCUUGCGCUCCUUGGUAUUCCGAGGAGCAUGCCUGUUUGAGUGUCAUGAAAAUUUCAACGCCCCUUCUGGCUUAUAACCAAGUCGGACGAGGUGUUUGGAUUUGUGGAGGUUGCUGGACAGUUCAACUAUCAGCUCUUCUAAAAUUUAUUAGCGAAACUUCCGUUACUGGCUAUGUUCCACGGUAUGAUAAUUAUCUAUACCGCUUGGAUAUCCAGGCUUUCUUGAUUGAAAGGGUUUUGCUUUCAAAUUGUCUUGGUUAAAGACAUUAUUCGAACAUUUUGACCUCAAAUCAGGUAGGACUACCCGCUGAACUUAA
rnacentral:misc_RNA from 1 species